rnacentral:tRNA from 1 species
GUCACGGUAGCUCAAUGGAUAGAGCGCACGAUUCACGUCCGUGUAGAUCGGGGUUCGAGCCCCUGCCGUGGCA